CCUACGGGAGGCAGCAGUGGGGAAUUUUGGACAAUGGGCGCAAGCCUGAUCCAGCAAUGCCGCGUGAGUGAAGAAGGCCUUCGGGUUGUAAAGCUCUUUUGUCAGGGAAGAAAAGGGUGCGGCUAAUAUCUGCGCCUCAUGACGGUACCUGAAGAAUAAGCACCGGCUAACUACGUGCCAGCAGCCGCGGUAAUACGUAGGGUGCAAGCGUUAAUCGGAAUUACUGGGCGUAAAGCGUGCGCAGGCGGUUUUGUAAGACUGUCGUGAAAUCCCCGGGCUCAACCUGGGAAUGGCGAUGGUGACUGCAAGGCUAGAGUUUGGCAGAGGGGGGUAGAAUUCCACGUGUAGCAGUGAAAUGCGUAGAUAUGUGGAGGAACACCGAUGGCGAAGGCAGCCCCCUGGGUCAAAACUGACGCUCAUGCACGAAAGCGUGGGGAGCAAACAGGAUUAGAUACCCUGGUAGUCCACGCCCUAAACGAUGUCUACUAGUUGUCGGGUCUUAAUUGACUUGGUAACGCAGCUAACGCGUGAAGUAGACCGCCUGGGGAUCGGUCGCAAGNUAAACUAAAUGAAUUGACCGGNNGAGAGAGCGACGACGACGACGAGGGAGGAGG
rnacentral:rRNA from 1 species